rnacentral:rRNA from 1 species
GACGGAGGGUGCUAGCGUUGUUCGGAAUGACUGGGCGUAAAGGGUGCGUAGGCGGCGCGGUAAGUCGGGUGUGAAAUUUCGAGGCUUAACUUCGAAACUGCAUUCGAUACUGCCGUGCUAGAGGACUGGAGAGGAGACUGGAAUUUACGGUGUAGCGGUGAAAUGCGUAGAUAUCGUAAGGAAGACCAGUGGCGAAGGCGGGUCUCUGGACAGUUCCUGACGCUGAGGCACGAAGGCCAGGGGAGCAAACGGG